UGAGGAAUAUUGGUCAAUGGGCGGAAGCCUGAACCAGCCAUGCCGCGUGAAGGACUAAGGCCCUACGGGUCGUAAACUUCUUUAGACGCAGAGCAAUAAGGUCCACGCGUGGACCGAUGAGAGUAUGCGUAGAAUAAGCAUCGGCUAACUCCGUGCCAGCAGCCGCGGUAAUACGGAGGAUGCAAGCGUUAUCCGGAUUCAUUGGGUUUAAAGGGUGCGUAGGCGGCUUGGUAAGUCAGCGGUGAAAUUCCAGUGCUCAACAUUGGCCGUGCCGUUGAUACUGCUGGGCUUGAAUGCGGAUGCCGUGGGAGGAAUGUGUGGUGUAGCGGUGAAAUGCAUAGAUAUCACACAGAACACCGAUUGCGAAGGCAUCUCACGAAUCCGCAAUUGACGCUGAGGCACGAAAGUGUGGGAUCAAACAGGAUUAGAUACCCU
rnacentral:rRNA from 1 species